ensembl:lncRNA
AUUGGUUUAGUCCUUAUAACUAGCCUAUGGUGGCGCUCUGGGGGUGGGACUUAGAGAGACGGGAGAGUGAGCGUGAUCGAGAGCGAGAGAGACGCGGAGUAGCGACGAACGGAGAGAGACGGGAGAUAGCAGCAGCAAGGAGGUUUGGAGAAAGUUCUGUGAAGUUCCAGAGAGUUCUAAAGCUUGUAGCUUUAUAAAUUGUUCUAGCUGAGUUCAGUGUACAACUGACAGUGGACUGAUUUAGAGUAGUAAAGCCACAGUGAAGGAGUUUUGCUGUGUGCGCGCUCUGUUAGCUGCUUGAUUAGCUACCGCUGCUAACUCUGAGUACUGGAGGUCUGUUCACUCAUGCUUCGAGGGAGGACAUUAACCCGAUAGCGUUCUGAACUGCCGCGUUGUUCAGAAUCCUCUGGCUCCGAGGGAGGUCCUGCUCUGCUGCGUGCUGUUCCUGUCGUGAGUUGUGUGAGACUGCCGCUAUUCCGACCACUACUCCACUAGCUACCAGAGUUUUACACCGCUUCCAUUAAAACACUUAAAGACUCCACCACGUGUCUUGGUCACUUAAGGAAGAGUGUUAAGCUGUCUGCAUAGCUGUGUAUGCAGACGCACAGUGAAGGCAGAACAGUAAAAAGAUAGCUUCAUCUAAAGAUUGGACUGGAGACACAACUGCUUGCAUCAACAACAACAAUGGCAGAGACAAAAGCUGGUGACCCUGAUCUUCAUGGACUGGAAGUACGGUCUGAGUGCUCUUCAUCUUCCUCCUCUUCACGACGCUCAAAAAUGAGGAUGGACCCAAGCUUCAGCCUUCCAACGCCCAACACAGUGCCCCUUCGCAGUGAUAAAGUUCAAUCAAAACGCUGGAGAGAUCCUGUCACAGUUAACAAAACAAAGGUUGAACAGCAGUCAUCCUCCUCUGUGUCUAAGAGACCUGUAAUAGAUCCUGAAAAGGAAUGUCCUAUGCACAAGAAACCUCAUUCCCUCAGGAAGUGCAGGGGUUUCAGGGAAAAGCCACUUGAGGAACGUAUGACUUUCCUGAAGGAGCACUUUGUAUGUUUCAGAUGCUGUGCUUCCACUGCACAUCAGGCAAAAGAGUGCAAAGCAGUCAUUCACUGUUCAGAGUGUGACAGCAAUCGUCAUGUUUCUGCUCUCCACGCAGGCCCUGCACCUUGGGUCAAUAAGGAAUCUGACACACCUCCUGUAGACCAUGGUGGGGAGCAUCAUGAGCAUGAUUCAGCUAUUCUAACUUCUACAUGCACAGAAGUCUGUGGACAGGGGUUUCAAGGCAAAUCUUGUUCUAAAAUAUGCCUAGUGCAUGUUUAUCCAGAAGGGCAUCCAGAAAAGAAGGUCAAGAUGUAUGUCAUAUUGGAUGACCAGAGCAAUGUAUCAUUGGCAAGGUCUGCAUUCUUUGACAUUUUCAAUGUACACAGCAACAGUUUCCCCUAUGCUCUCAAAACAUGCUCUGGCACAGUAGACACAGCUGGGAGGCGCGCUGUGGGCUUCAUGGUAGAGUCAGCUGAAGGGAAUGUUCACCUGCGACUUCCUACCCUCAUUGAGUGCAACCAAAUUCCAAAUAACAGAGAGGAAAUUCCUACACCAGAAGCUGCACACAGCCACCCUCAUCUCAGGGAGAUUUCCAAUAAGAUCCCACCUCUCGACCCUUCUGCUGAAAUCCUUCUAUUACUCGGGCGAGACAUCAUCCGCGUGCACAAAGUUCGAAGCCAACGUAACGGGAAACACAAUGCUCCCUAUGCCCAGCACCUGGAUUUAGGAUGGGUCAUUUUCGGUGAUGUCUGCUUAGGUGGUGCUCAUAGACCUAUUGUGAAUGUCUUCAAAACUAACAUCUUGGAGAAUGGACGUCACAGCUAUCUUACUCCGUGUGAGAACAGCAUCUCUGUGAAAGAGAAAUUGGCACAUGAGCAGCAGACAUGCCCCAAAGUCUUGCCUACACAUACACCAAUGAAUGAGAACCCAGAGAGACAGUUCUUCAACUGUUCAGAGGACAGCAACAAACUCGCUCUUUCCAUUGAGGAUGAAAAAUUUCUCCACAUCAUGAACAAGGAGUUUGUUAAAGAUGAGACAAACAGUUGGGUGGCACCUCUACCAUUUCGUGUUCCCAGGCAACGCCUACCAAACAACCGGGAUCAAGCCCUCAUUCGGCUUAUGUCACUUCGUCGCACCCUGCAAAAGAAACAAGAAAUGAAAGAUCAUUUUGUAGCUUUUAAGGAAAAGAUCAUCAUCAAUGGGCAUGCUGAACCUGCCCCUCCUUUGGAAAGCAACACGGAGUGCUGGUAUCUGCCUAGCUUUGGGGUUUACCACCCCCAGAAACCAGGACAAAUCAGAAUUGUGUUUGACUCAAGUGCAAAAUGUGGUGGCGUCUCACUCAAUGAUGUGCUCUUACAGGGCCCCGAUUUGAAUAACAGUUUGCAUGGGGUUCUCAUUCGCUUCCGGAAAGAACCUGUUGCUGUGAUGGCUGAUGUUGAACAGAUGUAUUACAGUUUCCUGGUCAGAGCAGAUCAUCGUGACUUCCUCCGUUUCCUAUGGUUUCAUGGUCACGACCUUGACAGUGAUGAUGUAGAGUACCGCAUGAAAGUUCAUGUGUUUGGAAAUUGUCCCUCCCCAGCAGUGGCCAUGUACGGCCUUAAGCGGUCAGCUAUAGAGGGAGAAAAGACCUUUGGCGCUGAAGUGAG